ACCGCAAGUGGUGUGGCUUGCAAUAAUAUACCGCAAGUGGUGUGACUUGCAAAAUAGUAAUGGCAAGUGGUGUGACUUGCCGAAAGGAAACUGCAAGUGGUGUGACUUGCAAAAAAAAUACCGCAGGUGGUGUGACUUGCAAAUAUGGUAAUGCAAGUGGUGUGACUUGCAAAAUAGGUACCACAAGUCGUGUGACUUACAGAAAAGGUGGAAGGGAGGUAUUCGAACGCUGAUUUACAAAAAGAAUGGCAACAUCUUAUAAUGUGGUUGGAAGGCGUUGUGGCACACACCCUUCCCUUGAUUCUAAAUGUGCGCUACUAGUGUAAAGACGAGAAAUUUUUGUUAUUAUUUUAAA